ACGGGAGGCAGCAGUGGGGAAUAUUGCACAAUGGGGGAAACCCUGAUGCGGCAACGCCGCGUGAAGGAAGACGGUCUUCGGAUUGUAAACUUCUGUUCUUAGUGAAGAUAAUGACGGUAGCUAAGGAGCAAGCCACGGCUAACUACGUGCCAGCAGCCGCGGUAAUACGUAGGUGGCAAGCGUUGUCCGGAAUUACUGGGUGUAAAGGGAGCGCAGGCGGGAAAUCAAGUUGGAUGUGAAAUGUCGGGGCUUAACCCCGGAACUGCAUCCAAAACUGAUUUUCUUGAGUGAAGUAGAGGUAGGCGGAAUUCCGAGUGUAGCGGUGAAAUGCGUAGGUAUUCGGAGGAACACCAGUGGCGAAGGCGGCCUACUGGGCUUUAACUGACGCUGAGGCUCGAAAGUGUGGGGAGCAAACAGGAUUAGAUACCCUGGUA
rnacentral:rRNA from 1 species